rnacentral:rRNA from 1 species
AUUGAACGCUGGCGGCAGGCCUAACACAUGCAAGUCGAACGAGUGGCGGACGGGUGAGUAAUGUCUGGGAAACUGCCCGAUGGAGGGGGAUAACUACUGGACACGGUAGCUAAUACCGCAUACCAUCGGAUGUGCCCAGAUUGGAUUAGCUUGUAGGUGAGGUAACGGCUGACCUAGGCGACGAUCACUAGCUGGUCUGAGAGGAUGACCAGCCACGGUGUAACUGUGCCACGGUCUAUGCUCAUACGGUAGGGAGGAGUGGGGAUUAGUGCACAGUGUGCGCAAGCAGGAUGCAGCCAGGGCGGGUGUAUGAAGAAGGCGUUAGGGUUGUAAAGUGCUUUCAGCGGGGAGGCGUUGCACGCGGAAGAAGCAAAGGCUAACUCCGUGCCAGCCGCCGCGGUAAUUC